rnacentral:rRNA from 1 species
GACGAACGCUGGCGGCGUGCUUAACACAUGCAAGUCGAACGGAAAGGCCCUGCUUUCGUGGGGUGCUCGAGUGGCGAACGGGUGAGUAACACGUGAGUAACCUGCCCUUGACUUUGGGAUAACUUCAGGAAACUGGGGCUAAUACCGGAUAGGAGCUCCUGCUGCAUGGUGGGGGUUGGAAAGUUUCGGCGGUUGGGGAUGGACUCGCGGCUUAUCAGCUUGUUGGUGGGGUAGUGGCUUACCAAGGCUUUGACGGGUAGCCGGCCUGAGAGGGUGACCGGCCACAUUGGGGCUGAGAUACGGACCAGACUCCUACGGGAGGCAGCAGUGGGGAAUAUUGCACAAUGGGCGGAAGCCUGAUGCAGCAACGCCGCGUGCGGGAUGACGGCCUUCGGGUUGUAAACCGCUUUCGCCUGUGACGAAGCGUGAGUGACGGUAAUGGGUAAAGAAGCACCGGCUAACUACGUG